AGUUGUUGCAUGCACAGCUGUUUAAAAGGUGCAAUUGCACCACUACCAGAUGGACCUGCGUUGUAUUAGCUAGUUGGUGAGGUAACGGCUCACCAAGGCGACGAUACAUAGCCGACCUGAGAGGGUGAUCGGCCACACUGGGACUGAGACACGGCCCAGACUCCUACGGGAGGCAGCAGUAGGGAAUCUUCGGCAAUGGGGGCAACCCUGACCGAGCAACGCCGCGUGAGUGAAGAAGGUUUUCGGAUCGUAAAGCUCUGUUGUAAGAGAAGAACGAGUGUGAGAGUGGAAAGUUCACGCUGUGACGGUAUCUUACCAGAAAGGGACGGCUAACUACGUGCCAGCAGCCGCGGUAAUACGUAGGUCCCGAGCGUUAUCCGGAUUUAUUGGGCGUAAAGCGAGCGCAGGCGGUUAGAUAAGUCUGAAGUUAAAGGCUGUGGCUUAACCAUAGUACGCUUUGGAAACUGUUUAACUUGAGUGCAAGAGGGGAGAGUGGAAUUCCAUGUGUAGCGGUGAAAUGCGUAGAUAUAUGGAGGAACACCGGUGGCGAAAGCGGCUCUCUGGCUUGUAA
rnacentral:rRNA from 1 species